rnacentral:rRNA from 1 species
UUUAACGGCCGCGGUAUUUUGACCGUGCAAAGGUAGCGUAAUCAAUCGUCUUUUAAAUGAAGACCUGUAUGAAUGGUAAAACGAAAACUCAACUGUCUCAUUCUUUCAGCCAAUGAAAUUGAUCUCUCCGUGCAGAAGCGGGGAUAUACACAUAAGACAAGAAGACCCUGUGGAGCUUUAGAUUAAUUAGCCUAAGCUUUACUUAAGUCUUUCUUAUUUAAAGCUAAACUCUACUUACAUCUUAGAUUGGGGCGAUCACGGAGAAAACAGACCCUCCACGAAGAAAAACACAUGCUUUUUAUAGUCAAGAGUUACAGCUCCAAACACUAAUACAUUUAAUUCUAUGAACCGGCCUGCCGAUUAACGAACCUAGUUACCCCAGGGAUAACAGCGCAAUCCCCUUAAAGAGCACUUAUCACUAAGGGGGUUUACGACCUCGAUGUUGGAUCAGGACAUCCUAAU